UUCGCCGGCGACCGGCGCACGGGUGAGUAACACGUAUGCAACCUGCCCCUGUCAGGGGGACAACCCGCCGAAAGGCGGGCUAAACCCGCGUACAUGCCACCGGGGCAUCCCGGAGGCAGGAAAGGCUUCGGCCGGACAGGGAUGGGCAUGCGGCGCAUUAGGCAGUAGGCGGGGUAACGGCCCACCUAACCGACGAUGCGUAGGGGUUCUGAGAGGAAGGUCCCCCACACUGGUACUGAGACACGGACCAGACUCCUACGGAAGGCAGCAG
rnacentral:rRNA from 1 species